GUUCUCACUUCAGCAGCACGCAUAUUAAAAUGGAACAAUACAAAGAAGAUAGUAUGGCCUCUGUAAAAGUAUGACACAAAUUUAUGACAUGCUCCAACAUUAA